rnacentral:tRNA from 1 species
GCGGGGUGGAGCAGCUUGGUAGCUCGUCGGGCUCAUAACCCGAAGGCCGUCGGUUCAAAUCCGGCCCCCGCAACCAC